AUGAGCAGACCCUGGGUCCUGAUCGGUGAUUUCAACUUGAUAACCGACCCCCAGGACAAGAACAAUAGCAGAUUAUCUCGUACAUGGAUGAGUCGAUUCAGGCGCACAUUGAAUAGAUCAAGUUUGCAUGAAAUUCCUUUAAUGGGACGCCGUUUCACAUGGAGCAAUGAGCAGACUCCACCCACGCUGGUCCUGCUCGAUAGGGCAUUUUGCAAUGUGGAAUUGGAGCUCCUAUUCCCUGGGGCGAAGCUGCUGCCGCAAUCCUCUGCCAUCUCCGACCAUUGUCCCCUUAUCCUUGUAAAUGACAUGAUCACAAAAACCAACAGAAGGUUCAGAUAUGAAGCAUACUGGCAACACAUUGAGGGUUUCCACGAGGUGGUAAACCAAUCUUGGGCUGCUUCUACAGGGAACGUGUGCCCAAUCACUAGGCUAAAUACGAAGCUCCAUAGGCUAAGCAAGACCUUACGAGCUUGGAGCAAAACAAUCGUGGGUGAUGUUCAGAGGCAGCUUGGCAUAACGAGUGAGCUCAUACCCCAGUUGGACACACAACAAGAUUUCAGACAGCUUGUCGAAACGUGA
rnacentral:rRNA from 1 species